CGACGACAUGCGGCUAAACAUCUCCUCGCUGGCCAGAUUGGGGAGGGGACCAGAGGAUGCUCCGGAGUCCCACAUCGUUUUUGCGUAGUUACACACCGACUCUAUGUUAAUUUUGGUGACCUCGGACUGACGAAGCCUGGUGUCGUUGGCUCCGACGUGAAUAAAAACUUUACCAAAUUUACGUUUACGUCUCGCCAGGAGCUUUAAAUUGGCUUCUAUGUCGCCCGCUCCGGCCCCCGGAAUGCUCUUAACUAUGGUCGCUGGAGUCGGCUUCACGGAGCGCAAAACAGAGUCGCCAAUUACCAGGGUCGGUUUCUCAGCGGGUGUGUCGCCGAGUGGGGAAAACGAUGAGCCACGGGAAGCGGGUGGUGGGGCACCGUGGGCCUUUGUUUGGGCUCCGCUUCCUGCGAACCGUCUCCCAGCCGCCCUGGCGAGCCGCCUGCUGCCGGGGGGCCGCUAGCUGAAGCUACGCUAGGCGGCUCCGCAGCAGCUAGCUUCUCCUGGCUACCUGACGCAACUCCAGCUAACUCCAAGCUGCGGAACCGCGUCUCAAGCUCGCUAAGUCUCGCCUCCAUAGCCAUCAAUGAAAUCAAAGGAUCAAACCGAACUGGCAGAUCAAACACAUCAGCUCUACCUCAUCAGCACACGCCUGAGGAGCUCAACACUCUUGUACCACACUGGUGACCAGCAGACGCAUCAAUGGCACAGAGAGGAACUCAGCAGCUGAAGGCAGAGCAAGAAUCAUCAAUGGAGACUUGGAGGGAAGAGGUCCAGCAUCUCAGAGAAGCCCUGGCUGAGAAGGAGGAGCAGCUCAGCAGGGUAGUGAAGAGGCGACAAAUGAGAACUGUGGCCCAUGUGGAGGCCCUGACCCUGCUGAACAGCACACAAGCUGCUCUGAAGGAGAGCGAGCUGAAAUGUGCUUCUCUGGAGGAAACCCUCCACAGCCAGCAGCAGGAGAACGAGGAGACACGCAGGAGAGAGCUGAUGGAGCAGGAGGAAGGCCUGAAUCAGAAGCUCCUGGUGAUUGAGGAGGAAUUUGAGAGGAAGCUGAAGGAAGAAAGGCAAAGAUCUCAUGAAGAGAAAGAGGCCAUGAGGCAGCAGCUCUUUCUGGAAGAAAAAAAGUUCCAGGAACUUCUUGAUGAAGAGCAACAAAAAUAUCAUGAGAAGAUCCUGCAAAAAGAAGAGUUGAUGAAGCAGCAGCUGGUGGUUAAAGAAGAGAACUUUAACAGGAUGCUGGCUGAUGUUCAUCAGCGGUGGGAGAGGACCGCUCAGACAUGGGUCCAGAUGAACGAAGAGCUGGAGCACAAGAUCAACGAGAGCCAAUGUUUCAGGACACAUGAGGAGGCAAAGAACAAAGAGGAGCUCCAGAGGCUCUCUGAAGCGAUCCUCCAACUUGAGCUUCAAGUAUCAAAGAAGCAGAAGAAAAGAAGCUUCUGUGGAUGGAUCUGGAAAAAGAUGAAGUUCUGGAAAAAAUGAAUUAAACAACAAUUCCAGAGCUCCUCCUCUUCCUCCUUCUCUACAUCCUGACCUCCAGCGUCACAUCCUGUCCUCAACAGUUUUAUUUUACAGUAUAAUUAUUGUUAUUUUCAUUUGGAUUUUUGAUGUAGAAACAAUAAAACUCAAAGUAAACCAC
ensembl:lncRNA